rnacentral:rRNA from 1 species
CUAACCUGCCCACUGAUUUAUUAAAGGGCCGCGGUAUAUUGACUGUGCAAAGGUAGCAUAAUCAUUUGUCUUUUAAUUGAAGGCUGGAAUGAAUGGUUGAAUGAAGUAUAAGCUGUCUCAUUUAAAAAAAAAUAAAAAUUUAGCUUUUAAGUCAAAAGGCUUAAAUAAAUUUAAAAGACGAGAAGACCCUAUAGAUCUUUAUAUUUUAUUUAAAUUAAUAAAUUUUAGAUAAGUAAAGUUUUAAUUUAUAAUAAUAUUUGGUUGGGGUGACUAGAAAAUUUAAUAAACUAUUUUUAUUUAAUUACAUUGAUGUAUGAAUUAUUGAUCCAAUAAUAUUGAUUAAAAAAUUAAGUUACCUUAGGGAUAACAGCGUAAUUUUUUUAGAGAGUUCUUAUCGAUAAAAUAGAUUGCGACCUCGAUGUUGAAUUAAAGAU